UACGUAGGGGGCGAGCGUUGCCCGGAAUCAUUGGGCGUAAAGGGCGCGCAGGCGGCCUGAUUAGUCGUGGGUGAAAUCGUUCGGCUCAACCGAGCGGGGUCCUGCGAAACGGUCGGGCUGGAGCAAGGCAGGGGGUAGUGGAAUUCCCGGUGUAGUGGUGGAAUGCGUAGAGAUCGGGAGGAACACCAGUGGCGAAGGCGGCGACCUGGGCCUGUGCUGACGCUGAGAAGCGAAAGCAUGGGGAGCGAACAGG
rnacentral:rRNA from 1 species